AUGUAUAAUUUUUCUCACAGAAUGUCAUCAGAGGAGAAAAGUCUAGAUCCCUCUGACAAAGGACCCUCGCCAUCUCAUAGCAGCUCUGGGGCCACUCCCACUGGAAGUCCGGCCCCCACAGAUAAGCGGCCCCGGGGCCGCCCUCGUAAGGACACGUUAUCCACGGCAACACCACUUCCAGCUGUACCCAGACAGAGAAAGAAGAAUCGGGGGCGAGGAAAAGCUCUGGUGGAGGAUGAGGACAGCACAGAUGGAAUGGAGACCACAGAAACAGGAAGCACACAGGAGACAGUCACUAAAGGGCAGCAGGAGGAGACGGCGGGCGCCUCUGCCGUGGCAGUUUCUGCAGAGGGAGAGGAAGAGGAGCAGUUGUCAUCCCCUCUUCCUGCGAGCCCUGAGACGGGGGCGGCACAAACAUCAUCAGCCUCUGGAGAAGCUAAAAGCAGGUCAGAGCAGCAUCCUCUCGCCAGGCUGAGUCACCGCCGGCGUGGGAAGCAUGCGCAUGCGGACGUGUGUGUGUGUGUGUGUCAGUGUGAACACUUCGUGUUUUAA
rnacentral:lncRNA from 12 species